rnacentral:rRNA from 1 species
GUGGGGAAUAUUGCACAAUGGGGGAAACCCUGAUGCAGCGACGCCGCGUGAGUGAAGAAGUAUUUCGGUACGUAAAGCUCUAUCAGCAAGGAAGAAAAUGACGGUACUUGACUAAGAAGCCCCGGCUAACUACGUGCCAGCAGCCGCGGUAAUACGUAGGGGGCAAGCGUUAUCCGGAUUUACUGGGUGUAAAGGGAGCGUAGACGGUAUGGUAAGUCAGAUGUGAAAGCCCGGGGCUCAACCCCGGGACUGCAUUUGAAACUAUCAGACUAGAGUGCAGUAGAGGUAAGUGGAAUUCCUAGUGUAGCGGUGAAAUGCGUAGAUAUUAGGAGGAACACCAGUGGCGAAGGCGGCUUACUGGACUGUAACUGACGUUGAGGCUCGAAAGCGUGGGGAGCAAACAGGAUUAGAAACCCCUGUAGUCC